rnacentral:SRP_RNA from 1 species
CUAUGAUAGGUGGGGAGGUAGCGGUGCCCUGUAUCUGCAAUCCGCUAUAGCAGAACGGAAUCCCCAGUAUGCGGCCUGUUUUUGUGGGGACUGUCCCACGCACGUGGUGUUGAAGGUUGGGUCUUGAGCAACGAGAACCUGUUGAACCCCGUCAGGUCCGGAAGGAAGCAGCGGUAAACAGAACUCCCGUGUGACGCAAGGUAGCCUGGCCUGAGCUAACGACGCGGGCAACGCCCGGAAGAGCAUGUCAACUCUGGGUUCAUAG